CUGUUUCUUGUAGUAAGAUUGGAUCAAGAGUAGGGGUGUGAAUAAAAUCUUUGUUCUUCAGUUGCUGAUAUACUUCUUUCUCUCUUCGGGUCUUUAGUCCUAGGUCUCCUAUCUUGAGAAGGACCUUGACUUGCUGACCGGAUGAAGAUGACGGAGCUUGUGUGGGUGUCGGGUCGACGCUCAUCUCUGAUGGGUGUGAGGAGUGUCGGGAUAAACUCCUUGUACCAAUGUUCUUGAGAGCCUUCCCUGCAUUCUUCACCUUCUUAAACAUCCUGUAAACAAAAGUUGGCAAAAACACAACUAGUGGAAAAUGUGAGAGAAAAUGUUAGUGGUUAGCUGUCCGGAAUGUGAGUAGUCCAGGGGUU
rnacentral:lncRNA from 1 species